CAGUCGCCGCGGGAAUACGUAGGUGGCAAGCGUUGUCCGGAAUUAUUGGGCGUAAAGGGCUCGCAGGCGGUUUCUUAAGUCUGAUGUGAAAGCCCCCGGCUCAACCGGGGAGGGUCAUUGGAAACUGGGAAACUUGAGCGCAGAAGAGGAGAGUGGAAUUCCACGUGUAGCGGUGAAAUGCGUAGGGAUGUGGAGGAACACCAGUGGCGAAGGCGACUCUCUGGUCUGUAACUGACGCUGAGGGGCGAAAGCGUGGGGAGCGAACAGGAUUAGAUACCCCCGUAGUCCCUGUCUCUUAUAC
rnacentral:rRNA from 1 species